rnacentral:rRNA from 2 species
GAAAACUCGGGAUCCCGUCCGCUCUCCCAUAGAUAAGCUACCAAUCGUCUGACUAGUAGUUGGGUCGGUGACGACCAGCGAAUCCCAGGUGUUGUAUGUU